UACCUUAUUAAAAAUGGUUUAAUAAAUAAAGACAAUUAUUAAAUAAAUGUUAAGACUUUAAAAUACUAACCCAAGGAAAUACAAAUUCAAUAAGACUCUUGCUCUAACAACAGUUUUCUAAAACUAACCAACAAAAGUAUCCAGUGUUUUUCUUAUGAAGAUUAUUAAUAAAAUAUAGUGUUGAUGUGCACAUUUUAACAACAUGCUAUUCUUCUGCAGGUAAAGGAGACAUGGCUAUAUCUAACAUCGUGGGAUCCAAUGUGUUUGAUAUGCUAUGCCUUGGUCUUCCCUGGUUUAUUAAGACUGCAUUUACGAAUGCAUCUGCUCCUAUAGAAGUGAACAGCAAGGGACUCACUUAUAUAACCAUCUCUCUCAACAUUUCAAUCUUUCUUCUGUUCUUAGCGGUUCAUUUUAACGGCUGGAAACUAGACCGAAAGUUGGGGGUGGUCUGCCUAGUGUCAUACUUAGGACUUGCUACUUUAUCAGUACUAUAUGAACUUGGAAUCAUUGGAAAUAACAGAGUAAGGGGCUGUGGAAUUUGAUAUUUUUAAUAAUGUUAUGUGGAACAACUGGAAUGAUAGAGGGGCAAAAAAAUUCAUGUCUUCAUUUAGGUCAAAUUAAAAAAAAAAUCUUCAACUUUAGAGUGUAACACUUAAUUACUAUCCUUUAUAAGCAGAGAAAAGUAAUUUAAACCAAACCAAAAUCAC
rnacentral:lncRNA from 1 species